AUAUGAUAACUGGAAUGCUCACCAGUCAUAAGACCAAUGUAAACAUAACCGAGAUAGCGUGUUAGAAAAAGACAGCAGAUAAGAAUGGUGUUGCUAUCUUUUUUUAUCACACAUAGUUAUAUGAAUUGAUUACCAAUACAUUUUAAAUUCGUUGUUCGUUUAACGUUUUGACUUUUGUUCUGCCUUCUGCGUUCUCAAAGUUUUAAAAAUAAUUAAAAUAGUGUGUACCUACUGUGCAGUUAAGACUUAAAAUGGUGAAUUUUUGUAGUGCCUUUAAUUGUGCUAGCUCUAGUGAUGUUAGAAAAGACUUGUCAUUUCACAAGAAAAAUAUCUAGCUGAAGUCAACUCAACAUAAGUUACAUUAGUUAACUUAACAGAUCAUAUAACUCCAAGGUUAUGAAUAUAGUUAAAGUAUCUACAAAGUAUCAUAGUAUCUUUAAAUAUUUAUUUAUUUUAGGAAAUUUGGCCAUGAAGUAUAACAAAAUGUAUUGCAGAUUUUGUUUUUCUGGAUAUUUCCAGUACUAAUAUUUCCUAAAUUAUAAAUCUACAAUAUUAAGCUUAAGUUAGGAAAGUAGUAAGUACAAUCUAAAGUAAGUAGUAGAUAUAGCUCCAGGUAAAUAGCGUAAGUACACUUUUAUUUCAAUUAUGAUUAAUAUUAUAAAUACUAUGUUUAUAUUUUAAUAAAUAUUAUUUUACUAAAAA